UCAAUAUAAAUUGAUUAAAUUUUAUUUAUUAAAAUUUUGUUUAUUUUUAUUUAUAUUAUUAAAAGUAUUUAUAUAUUUAUAAUGUUUAGUAUUUUAAAAAAAUUAAAUAAUUUUUAUUAUAGUUGAUUAGUAUUGUAAAAGAAAAUUGAAAUAAUUUGAAAAAUCUUUGUUUUAAAAGAAAAUUUAAUUUAUUGUACCUUGUGUAUCAGGGUUUAUUAAAUAAAAAAUAUAAAAUAUAUUUUUCUCGAUUUUAAAAGAGUUAAUAAAUUAUUAAAGUUAAUGUAAUAAAUUUAUUUUAAAUAAUUUAUUAGAAAUGAAAUGUUAUUCGUUUUUAAAGGUAUCUAGUUUUUCAAGAAAUAAAUUUAAUUUAUAAAUAAAAAAUUUAUUUAAUUGAUUUUUUAAUUAAAUAAUUUUUUAUUUAAAUAUUUUAUGGGAUAAGCUUUAAAAUAAAGUUUUAAAAAUAAUAUUAUUUUUAAAUAAAUAUAUGCUUAGAAAUAGCAAUUAUUAAAAAAUUUGUUACAAUUUAUUUUGUUUAUUGAAUUAUUUAUUAUGUUUUAAGUAUAUAUUGAAAUAUUUUUUGUAAUUAUUAAAAAAAAGUAAUAAUGAUAAAAUUAGUAUAUUUUUUUGUAAAAAUAAAUUUUAAUGAAAAGUUUAUAUAAAGAACUCGGCAAAUUUAAUAUUCGCCUGUUUAACAAAAACAUGUCUUUUUGAAUUAAAUAUAAAGUUUGACCUGCCCACUGAAAAAUUUAAAUGGCCGCAGUAUUUUAACUGUGCAAAGGUAGCAUAAUCAUUAGUCCUUUAAUUGAAGGCUGGAAUGAAUGGUUGGACGAAAUAUUAACUGUUUCAUAUAAAUUUAUAGUAGAAUUUUAUUUUUUAGUUAGAAAGCUAAAAUUUAAUUAAAAGACGAGAAGACCCUAUAAAUCUUUAUAUUUUUUAAUAUAUAAAUUUUUUAGAUUUAUUUUAUUUUUAUUUUAAAAAAUAUUUUAUUGGGGUGAUAUUAAAAUUUAAAAAACUUUUAAUUUUUAUAUACAUUGAUUUAUGAUUUAUUGAUCCAUUAUUAGUGAUUAAAAAAUUAAGUUACUUUAGGGAUAACAGCGUAAUUUUUUUGGAGAGUUCUUAUCGAUAAAAAAGAUUGCGACCUCGAUGUUGGAUUAAGAUAUAAUUUUAGGUGUAGUCGCUUAAAUUUUAAGUCUGUUCGACUUU
rnacentral:rRNA from 1 species